rnacentral:rRNA from 1 species
AUUGAACGCUGGCGGCAGGCUUAACACAUGCAAGUCGAGCGGGGGAGGUUACUUCGGUAACUGACCUAGCGGCGGACGGGUGAGUAAUGCUUAGGAAUCUGCCUAUUAGUGGGGGACGACAUUCCGAAAGGGAUGCUAAUACCGCAUACGCCCUACGGGGGAAAGCAGGGGAUCUUCGGACCUUGCGCUAAUAGAGGAGCCUAAGUCGGAUUAGCUAGUUGGUGGGGUAAAGGCCUACCAAGGCGACGAUCUGUAGCGGGUCUGAGAGGAUGAUCCGCCACACUGGGACUGAGACACGGCCCAGACUCCUACGGGAGGCAGCAGUGGGGAAUAUUGGACAAUGGGCGGAAGCCUGAUCCAGCCAUGCCGCGUGUGUGAAGAAGGCCUUUUGGUUGUAAAGCACUUUAAGCGAGGAGGAGGCUACUAGUACUAAUACUACUGGAUAGUGGACGUUACUCGCAGAAUAAGCACCGGCUAACUCUGUGCCAGCAGCCGCAGUAACAC